AAGGGGCAGGACUUAUAUCCGGGAUUGUGGGGUGAGUUGCAGCAGCGGCAGCUGCACAUGUGGGUUUGUUUAUAAGAACAAGGUUAGAAACUCGCAGGCCUCCCCCUCCCCCCAGCUCCUCCCCACUACCCCUUUACAGGCCGGAGAUCGGCUCCUGGGCGGUGGGGAGCAAUGGUGUGCUUGUGCCGGGUGGGGGGGACAGGCAGUGGUGAGGAAGAUGGAGAGGGGGAUUGCACCUCCCGGCCCGCGCCGGAGGAAGCGACAGCUGGAACAGCUGGCUGGGGAGCGGCUUGCAUGCCUGCGGUGCUUCCCCUUCCCUUCCCCCACCGCCCGCCGCCCGGCGAGCAGCGAAGUUUGGCGGUAGCGAGCGGUCGAGCCGGGGGCCCGGGCGCGGAGCAUGCAGGCCGGGCGGGCGCGGGGAGCGCGGGGGUGAGCGGGAG
rnacentral:lncRNA from 1 species